GUGGAAAUCUGUUCUGUAGGAAUUGGUUCAAAACUACGUGAGAAGUGCACCGCAAACUUUUGUGGUGAACAAAAAAAAAAAAAAUCUUACUCUGAUUUUCAGACACUCUGAUCUGCAAACAAGGCUAUGGAUGAAGCACCAGAGGUGAAGCCCGUCGGCUUCUCAUUAAAACCGAUGUUACCACUUCAUCCGCAUUACCCCUGGUAUACGGCUGGCAUUCCACAGAGGCUUUGGGGGUACCCGAGUGCUUGCAGGGUCCACGUUCAGAAGAAGGAAGAGAAACCCUUUGUCCAAAGCUGGACAGGAGCUCUCCUCACUGUUAAUGGAGCAGACAGCCUGUCUCUCCCUAAGGAACAGAGGUGAGGGAUCUGUAGUUACUGGGGACAUUGUACUAAGUGAUCUGGGCUAAAUGUCCUCUGCGUUCCUCUCCCAUGCUCCUUUCCUCUUUCCUCCCUCCUCCCUCCCUCUCUCUCCCUUCUUCCUCCUUCCCUUUCUUCCUCUCUCCUCACUUUCCU
rnacentral:lncRNA from 1 species